UGGGGAAUAUUGCACAAUGGGCGAAAGCCUGAUGCAGCAACGCCGCGUGAGUGAUGAAGGCCUUCGGGUUGUAAAGCUCUGCCUUUUGGGACGAUAAUGACGGUACCAAAGGAGGAAGCCACGGCUAACUACGUGCCAGCAGCCGCGGUAAUACGUAGGUGGCAAGCGUUGUCCGGAUUUACUGGGCGUAAAGGAUGCGUAGGCGGAUUUUUAAGUGAGAUGUGAAAUACCCGGGCUUAACUUGGGUGCUGCAUUUCAAACUGGGAAUCUAGAGUGCGGGAGAGGAGAAUGGAAUUCCUAGUGUAGCGGUGAAAUGCGUAGAGAUUAGGAAGAACACCAGUGGCGAAGGCGAUUCUCUGGACCGUAACUGACGCUGAGGCAUGAAAGCGUGGGUAGCAAACAGGAUUAGAUACCCUGGUAGUCCACGCCGUAAACGAUGAGUACUAGGUGUAGGAGGUAUCGACCCCUUCUGUGCCGCAGUUAACACAAUAAGUACUCCGCCUGGGAAGUACGAUCGCAAGAUU
rnacentral:rRNA from 1 species